GGAUGCUGGUUGUUAGAGGUAUCGACCCCUCUAGUAACGAAGCUAACGCGUUAAGCAUCCCGCCUGUGGAGUACGGUCGCAAGACUAAAACAUAAAGGAAUUGACGGGGACCCGCACAAGCGGUGGAGCGUGUUGUUUAAUUCGAUGGUAAACGAAGAACCUUACCCAGGCUUGACAUCCUUGGAAUUUUUUCGAAAGAAAAGAGUGCUUUAUUGAACCAAGUGACAGGUGUUGCAUGGCCGUCGUCAGCUCGUGUCGUGAGAUGUUAGGUUAAGUCCUUCAACGAGCGCAACCCUUGUGAUUAGUUGAAUUUUUCUAAUCAGACCGCCCUGGCAACAGGGAGGAAGGAGGGGAUGAUGUCAGGUCAGUAUUACCCUUACGUCUGGGGCUACAAACACGCUACAAUGGCCGGUACAAAGGGCAGCCAAGUCGCGAGACGGAGCAAAUCCCAUCAAAGCCGGUCUCAGUUCGGAUAGCAGGCUGAAACUCGCCUGCUUGAAGUCGGAAUCGCUAGUAACGGUAGGUCAGCUAUACUACCGUGAAUACGUUCCCGGGUCUUGUACACACCGCCCGUCAAACCAUGAAAGUCGCCAAUACCUGACGUGUGAGCUUCGCCUCGCCCUAAGGUAGGGG
rnacentral:rRNA from 1 species